AACAUGUGGUGGUUGAAGAACUGUUGCAGUUUCUCAUUGGUGAAGUUGAUGCACAGCUGCUCCAGGCUGUUGAACUAAUGUUUGACCUUGUAGAGCUGGUCCUCGUGAUGGAAGGGCUACGGCAGCCCUAGCUGAUGUGGUGGAACCUGUGAGGGCAUUGGUAAUGGGACAAGAGUGGUUUUCCCUUCGAGCCACUUCUCCACAAUGUCACCCAAGCAGCCCAAGUCUGGAUGUGUGACCAGAAACUCGUGAACACUACAGUAAUAAUAUGUCCUAGGCACAAGGUCCUUCAGCAGAGUCAUCAGGAAUAAAGUGGAUGCAGAAAGUGACUCUACUGGAGCUGGAUAUGGCUAUUUCAGGGCAAACACUGCUGCCAGCCAGGAGCUCUACAAUACUGUCACACUGACACGAUGUACAUUUACUGUCCUGGAACUGAUACAAGCACAAAGACAGGAUUUCUGAUGGAGCAGAUCUUUCCACACAUUAUUGCUGCUUAUGAACUUCAGGUCUUCAGCACAAGAUUAAUCAAUAGCAAAUCCUGCUUUGGGACUGAUUUGUUCCACUCCUGCCUGUGGCCAUUCCUAAUUGAAGAAUGGCUCUAUCUCUUCCAAAGAGCACCGUCUGCUGGGCUCACACUGUGGGUGACUGCCCCCUCACACAGCCAGGGCCUGUGGAGAUGGGGGGGGAGGCAGAAGAUGUACAGGAAAGCAGAUGUUCACAGCUGGUAGCAGCUCAUCUCAGCCACUAUGAACCAUGAAAGAGCUUGAAAAUCCUGCUGUAAUUUAUUCAGAUGACUUAUCCCACUGCUUUUAUCCAUUGCUGAAAUUGUUGCUCCCAUGGACUGGUCCAAGCUGACUAGUCCAAGGCAAGGAGGAAAUAGUGUGGAAUCAUAUUUGAUUCAGAAAGACUGAACACUAUUUCUUACCUCAAGUCCUGACUAGUGGAAUGGUCUUGGACUCCUCUGAGAAAGCAAGAAUUAUAGGCCCAGUUUUCAAAAGCAGCUUUGUGAUAUGUAUCCCUAAAUACCUUUUUAAAGCACUCAAACACCUGAGCAAUUAGGACUCGCAGGAAGUCUCCAUGUAGAACAAGAGAUCGUGCAUUAACUGCUCCUCACAGCACAUACCUGGGAGUCACUACUAACAUAAUGGCAGCUCAGUGCUCAGGAGAGGGCAGGAAGCUCUAAAAUAUUAGGAAUAGUUAGAAAAGAAAGGGAGAAGAGAAGGGAGUGUUAUGUAGGAAGUGUCCAUCAGUUCAUCCACACCUUCAUUACUGAUCACACCUCUUAGAAGGGAUAGAAUUGUACUAGAAAUGCUCCAGAGAAGAGAAACAAAGAUGGUCACACAUAUGAAAUGGCUUUUCUAUGAGGAGAGUACAACCUGAGAGUUUGGGGGUGAAAAGGAGACACUUUCAAAGUUUGCAAAGUCCGGAACAGCAGAGAGAACCAUAGCCAUAGCAAGGAAGAAUUAUUCUCUUCUACUCCUUGCGAAAGAAAAAAUAAUGCUGCAUAUAGCAGAGAAAAGGAAGGACUUUACACUUAAUCCAAUUUUAAAAGUGUGAAAAUCUUUCCCACAGGCCACUACAGGGGCAAAAAUAGUCAGGCCCUAGGAAAGCAGGACCUUGUGCAUCUCAGCCUGGUGCAGCCUCAGUCACUUCCCUGAGACUGCUGUGGAUCACUGCUUACUCUUUACUUGCUUUCUAAAACUCUUGUAGCAUUUACUGCCAAGAUGUUGGUUGAGGUGGUUCUUUGAGCCUCUGCAAUUAUUGUUACAAAAGUUGUCAGGACAUGAGCUGCUAUGACAUUUCAGCAUUUUUGGAAGAGUAACACCUUGGAGGCUCCUCUGGGAAACUGCAGCCAGUGACACCGACAAUAUCACGUUCAAAGGGGACUUUCAGAUUAUCUGUCUGCUCUGCUACCAGUAAAGGAAAGAAUUUAUCAGUGGAUAUGACAAUGUUAACUGAAAAAGUGUUAAAAGCAGUGGUUGAGGAAUGCCAAGACUGGCAAGGCAAUGACCUAACCUGGUUUAGAGCAUUGCCUGCUCUUUAAAGCCCAAACUAAGAAUAAUUAUCCAAUGAAUAACUGUAUCCCAGCAUUCAGAGCUAUGCUUUCCUUUGAAGGCUGUGCUGGUCCCAGUUGGAGGGCAGAGCAGGGCAGAUUUCCUGCCUGAGCUACUCUGGUGCUUCCCCCGUUCCUUGCCCUCCCCAGCAAUGCCCUGGGUCCCUCAGCAGGACCAGGAGAAAUGCACUUACUCUGCCAUCCUCUGUCUCCACAGUUAUCUUCCCAUCCUGUGCAGCCUUGAUCUUCCCUUUGGUGUACUCCACCUCAGGGUCAGCCACAAAGCAGUAGGUCUUGGCAUCAAAUGGCUGGUUCUGGGCUUCUAUUCUCUCCUUCUCUGACUUGCGCAGGUACGGUGCAGCCUCACCAAAAACUUCCAUGGCAGCGUCUCUGCUCAUGGCUGGAGCUGAAAGACACACCCUGUGCUGGUACCCUGGGCAGUCCUUAGAGCAGAGUGAAGCUGAACAUCCACAGCCCUUCCCAGCUGUCUGCUCUGAGCUCACCCCUCCCAGCCCUCACCUGCUGCAGGUCUUCAGGGAGAUGUUUGUCUUUCAAAGCUGGAAUGUACAAACCUAGUGAAAAGGAGCUGCCACCCUUUAUGGCCCCAGGGAAAGGAGAUCCAUGCCCAAAGGAGCAGGAUGGCUCCCAGUGGAAGUGUGGCAAAGGGGAGGGAUCUCUAAAGGAUUAACAUAGUCCUUAGAAAAAGUGAAGCCCUUAAGACUGUCUUUUUCCUGGUUUUUCAUUUAUGACUUCCCCCACUCCCUAUCAACAUGGAGCCUGUCCUAGUCCUCUGGUGGGCAGCCACAGCGGGCAGGAAUGGACACGAGCAGCUCAUGCAGGAGGAAGAACAGGGACCUGUCCACGGUGAGUGCAAGGGAAAAAUCAGCUCAUGCCAGCCUGGGCAAGAUGUUAGUUUUCAUGCCUUAAAUUCUCACCUUAACAAUCAGUCAACAGAAAGCAGGAAGGAACAGGCUGACAUCUCAGAUCUCUGCAAGAGAAAGAGUGGAAGGUCAGACUUCACCAAAGCUACAGCCUCUCCAAAGGCCUGACACCCCUCACUUACUGCAAGCCACUGCACCUGCUGAGGGCCAGCACGGUUCACCAGAGAUCCGCCCUUCCCUGCCCAAGAAAUGGCCCAGCAGGGAAUCCACAGCAGAAUUCCCACUGCAGCGCUACAACCUUGCGAAGCUCCAAGCACAGGGAACAGGACCUGUGGCAGGAGCCCUCUGCCACUCUGCAGGUCAGUCACAGCAUGGCCAUGAGCUUGGCCAGGACAUCAGGAGCCACCAAGGGUUUUCUCCCCAACUGCUUUUAUAGGCUCAGCUUGGUCCUCUUGGUUCAGCCCCUUCCCUAUAUUUGGAAGGAAGGGAUUGACACUCCUGCCUGCUCACAAUUCGUGUUCAUUUUCUGCCAUAUACAGUGUGUAAGAAAAGGAGCUGCUCUUUUUCCAACUUUGGUAACUCUGGGACCUAUCUGUGGUUUGCAGAUUUUUUCUUGUGAGAAUUUCCUCUCCCAGUCACAUGCUCUCCUGACAGCUAUGACCAUGGCCAGCACUUCCUUUCACUCUCACCCACAUGUCAAAGAAAUAAUAGUGCAGAAGGGACCUGCUUCCCUGCUCCUGCUCACAGGAUGCCUGGGCAGAGCUGCACAGUGGUGAGGGAACCCAAAGCAGCCCUGUGUGGGGUGGAGACCAAGGCCAUGGAAAGGAAAAAAGGUGUUAGGAUCAGUUAUGGCAACUCUUGUGGCUUCCCAUCACUGCAUGGGUCAGGGGGGAUGGGAUGAGAGGCCAUGACUGAAAUAUGUGAUAAACCAUGGCAAAACAGAGACUAAUCAGAAAGAACAACACCCAAAUCUAGCCAGGGAUGGACACUUCAUGAAUGCCAAACCUUGAAUAUGGUACAGAAACGUAGCUCCAAAUACAAUUUUGGCUGCUCAGGAUGUUCACUGCCCUUGCUGCCAAAAAGAGCUGCAGAAGCCUCAUCACAUCGUUCUAAGGUUCUUAGACAUGGAUGAUUGCAAUUCCCAUGUGAGACGGAUAUUGGUAAGGGUAAACAGUAGCCACAAAACCACUGGGCACUACCCCCUUUGCCAGCCCACUAGGACAGUAACAGCUCUGCUCAGUCCUGAGCACUAGUGACCCAGAGCAGCACUUUCACCUGAACUUCUGGGGCUGCAAGCUUGGCUGUGCCUGGGGAAGGCAGAGCUGUGUCUAGGAGAAACAGGCUGAGCAAGGACACACUGCACCUCUGCAUCUCUGACGUGGGCAGCUCAGGCAGUAAGGCCUGGCCACAGACUCAGUCAUUCCUCUCCCUUCCUCAGACCAAGGCUGUGCCACAGGCUUCUCAGACCACGCUGCCAAAACACCCUUGAAUCCACUUCAGCCAACAUGUGUGCCCUGAAAAGCAUAGGAAAACAGUGGGAAUUAGCAUGGAAAAAAAAAUACAACUGCAGCAAAAUUCCCCAACUCUGCAGGAGAGGCAGGGGGACAGGCAGGACUUGGAGCUGAGCUCUCCCGUCUCAGGGCAGCACAGCCAGGCUGCUGCUGGGGUACUGCCUUCCUGGCCUGUGAUCCCAGGUGCACAUUUCCAAUGAGAUCAAGCCUUCACUGACUUUUGCAAAACCAGCAAAGUUGACUCAAAAACUCUUGAAAAGCGGGUAUGAGUUCCCUGGGGCCAGAGUGGGCCUUGAAGGGAGGUCUCCCAGUCCCAAACAUAGUUUGGUUGGUACAGAGCAGCCAGGCAAUGACUGGCAGGAGCAGUGGGAGCCUUCAUGCACAGAUAGAGUGAGCUCCUGGUGCAGGAGAGGAAGGAUCUCUGUUCUGGUCAUCUUCUGUUACUGCUCAGUAAGCCCUAUUUUCCCUCUGUUCUGCAUGGAUGCUCAUCCAAGGCUGCAGCACCAGCUUUCCCUCAGCAGAGUGAAGCCUACAGGACUUGUGUGAAGCCAGAAGCCCACUCCUAAUAGCUCCUGCCACCUCCCAAAGCACCACUCCGAGCUGGAGCACCCUGGGACACCUGCAGCUGCUGCUGCAGUACAGGGGACGUCACCUUGUCUUUAGGCCACAGUGGCUGACCCUGCUUUUGUUUGCACAACAAGAACUAACCUUGUGGGCUUGCAGCAGAGUCAGUCACCAGCGUUUUGAAAAACAUGUUCCAUGUUGCCCGUAAUUUCAUUUAAGGUCACUAAAAAUGGACACGACAGCCACAUAUCUCAUGAACUAUGAAUUCCUAGAAUCCCCCUAAGCCUGGAGGAUGAGAGAAAAGCUUUUUUUAGCCCUCAUCCCUUGUGAUCAGCCCUUUGAACUCAGCACAGUGAAUGUACUGAGAGCAAAAACUCAGACACACCAGACCAAUAAGCAGUUUGGGACUUUUUCCUGAUACUGAAUUGCCAGUGUGAUUAAGACAGGGCAUUUCCUGCUCCCAGGCAUGCCCAAAGCAAGGGGGCUGGACCUCACCCACAGAAUCAUUAAGGUUGGAAAAGACCUCCAAGACCAGCUCCGGCUAAGCAGAUCCCCCCUUUUUUAGAAGAGUUUGUGAUUUGUCCCUCUGGGGUGCUUAACAAUCCCCUGCACAGCACAAGUGGCUUCAUGUCAAGCCCUUGGGGAUUGGAUGUCCUCCUGAAAUCCUGUACUCAGAAGCUGGAACCCAAGUGUCACAGCCUGCUUUGAGUCUGAUCCAGCCUCUUCCCUGUAGAAGAGACAAAUCACUCCUUUAAGAUCUCCCCUGCAGAGUGGGAAGACCAACUACCUUACCAGAGGGAAAUACAGAGAGUUUCUAAAGUAGUUGCUCUCUGUAAAACUCCAGACACACAGAAUAACAACAGUAAUCUUUCUUCAGCUUGCUGAAAUUUUGCAACUUUCUUGAUUGGCUUGAAACACUGGCAGUGUCCCACUCAUUCAAUUCCUACUGUCAUUUAUAAAGGAGACUUAAGUUUUGUAUCUAUCAUGGGACUUUCUGAUUUUCAAUCGCACAAAGCUGUCAUCCCAAAUCAUACAGCUUGUCAAUCAUUCAGGGACUCUGAAGCACAGGCAAGUCCAGACAUAGAAAGGUUUGUACACUUAUUUCUUGAGACAGGAAAAUCUAAUGCAUGUUCUUAACACCAAAGAAAAAAACUCCAAAAUUGAGAUGUGCAGAUUCACCUGUGCUCCCCAAGUCUCCUGACAUCCCUGCUUUGCAGUGUGACAGGCACAGUUUUGUAUCUCAGCCCUUGCUCCAGGCUACCUUCUGUUAAGAUUUUACAGCAACUAUUAUCUUGACAGAUGUUUUCAUAUCAUGAUGGGGAACAGUAUGAAAUCAGAGUGGCUCCCCUGUAAUGCAAAGUGGGGCCUUUCCAACAGCAGGCAUGGAAUAGCAAUGCUGUGGUAGCUGGUUGUGUAGUUCAUGGAUCAGAAUUAGAGAUCUGAAAGUAAUUAAUGUGUAUUUUUUUCAGCUACUAACCCAUGCUAGGCUGGGGAGAACAUGAAAUGAUACUGCAGCUUGUGGAUAUACUGGAUGGCCCCGAGUUAGAGAUCUGAGGCAGACGGGGAUGUUGUCGGUGCAGGGCUCAGCACACGCCUGUGACAAGCUGGCAGCAGGGGCUCCCCGUGGAGCCCCUUACUCCCCUUACUCAGUGCCAGUUGUUUUCCUGCACUCUGCUCCCACCUGGGCACCUGAACCAGCCAGGGAAAACUGGGAGAGUGGCUCUCAUUGCCUGUGGGUGCUCUUUGCUUCCACAGCUGGGUGUGGGGAGUUGGCACACCAGUGUGUGCCCAGGUGGCCAAGAAGGCCAGUGACAUCCAGGCUUGUACCAGCCAUGGUAUGGCAGCAGGACCAGGGCAGUGCCUGUUCCUGUGCUGGCACUGCUGAGGCAUCUCGAAUCUUGUGUCCAGUUCUGGGCCCCUCACGACAAGAAAGAUACUGAGGGGCUGGAAUGUGUCCAGAGAAAGGAAUGGAGCUGGGGAAGAGUCUAGAGCACAAAUAACACCUGAGGGAGCUGGGGGCCUCAGCCUGGAGACAAGGAGGCUCAGGGGGGCUUCCAGGGGCACAGGACGGGGGAGUUGGAGGGGGUUGGGCUCUGCUCCCUGGAAACAAGGGACAGGAUGAGAGGACAUGGACUUAAGUUGCACCAGGGGAGGUUCAGGUUGGGCAUCAGGAGGAAUUUCUUCCUGGAAAGGGUGGUCAGGCAUUGGAAGGGGCUGCCCAGGGAGGUGGUGGAGUCUCCACUCCUGGAGGUGUCCAAGGAAGGCCUGGCCGUGGCACUCAGUGCUCUGGGGAUGGGCCACACUUCCACACUUUGGAGUGACUGGGCUGGCUCCAGUCACUCCCAUAGGACCAGCAGCCAGGAAACAGGAGAUCCGAAAUCAAACCUUUUCUUAGCCUUGGGAUUUUCAACUGAUGUCUCUCACCUCCCCAGAAGUGGAGACAGACGUUAAGAGUCAGUGUCAGAAGCAGGGGCAGCAGAAGGAAACCUGGCUGCAGCCUGGAGGCUCCAGGGCUCAGCUGGUGGACACUGUGCUCCCAGUAUGAUGUCUGGUACUUGGUCCUGUUCAUGAAGAUACUUCUUAUUGCACUCCCAGAGCUGUAAAACAUCUCAAGUGUUUCACCUAGAACCCAGGACCAUACAAGAUUAGUCUCCUACCCACAAAGCCAUGAGCUACAACAGGCCACACACAAGUGACAUCUCUGCACCUGUGCAGGAUCCUGCUCGCCCUCAGGAAAACCCAAAACAAGACGAGCACAGGGCUUGCUACUGUGAGCCCAGGUCACUGUGGUUCACCACAGCUCGAUUCAGGUGCCUGUGGCCCAGAGUGAGGGCUCAUCUGCACACCCAUGCUGAGAGCAAGGGCCCCCUUUAACAGAUCCUUUCAAAUGAGAACAAAAAACCAAAAAAACUACUAAAAAAACAAACUAAGGCAAGAAACGCUGAUGCAAAGGGAGAGAUCAGUGGGUGAGGAGGAGUGUUGCACCUUCUCAUGAGUCUGGAUCUAGUGUAGGGACUCUCAGGAGGCUCUGUUGCUGCUGGAAGCUGGAAUAGCACAGAGGUGAUGGCUGUGGUGGGACCAGCUUUGUGCCAGCAUCGUCCCUCCACCCCUGUGGGCACAGCCCAGUGUGGGCAGCUCAGUGUACACAGCACAGCAGAGAUGUGUAGACCUUUUCAAAAUCAACCUGGUCUUACUGAAAAAUUACUGCAGGUAAAGGUCUAAUUAAAGAGCUUGUAGUUAAAUCUCCUGGGGUUUUCUCAGAAAUAUAAAUUAUCUAGAGAGAAACACUCUAAGAAAGCCUGAGGUGAGUGUCACAGCCCUUCUGCACUACAGCUCUGCUUUACAGCUGCUCUUUCAAAAGUCUCUGGUACUAAAGCCAACUGGAAUGAAGUAUACAGAUAACAUGCAUCAAACUAAAGUUA